rnacentral:rRNA from 1 species
AUUGAACGCUGGCGGCAGGCCUAACACAUGCAAGUCGAGCGGAUGACGGGAGCUUGCUCCUUGAUUCAGCGGCGGACGGGUGAGUAAUGCCUAGGAAUCUGCCUGGUAGUGGGGGACAACGUUCCGCAAGGAACGCUAAUACCGCAUACGUCCUACGGGAGAAAGCAGGGGACCUUCGGGCCUUGCGCCAUCAGAUGAGCCUAGGUCGGAUUAGCUAGUUGGUGGGGUAAUGGCUCACCAAGGCGACGGUCCGUAACUGGUCUGAGAGGAUGAUCAGUCACACUGGAACUGAGACACGGUCCAGACUCCUACGGGAGGCAGCAGUGGGGAAUAUUGGACAAUGGGCGAAAGCCUGAUCAGCCAUGCCGCGUGUGUGAAGAAGGUCUUCGGAUUGUAAAGCACUUUAAGUUGGGAGGAAGGGCAGUAAGUUAAUACCUUGCUGUUUUGACGUUACCGACAGAAUAGGCACCGGCUAACUCUGUGCCAGCCGCCGCCGGUAA